GUAUCCGUGCCUCAGUCUCAACUCGCCUCGUCUCAUUUUAGCUGCGUUUAAAGGUGAAAUUGGUAAAAUGAUUCAUAUAGAAAUUAUGAAACCUAUUGUAAAUCUCAUCUGUACGGGUGAACCGGUGGGGCGGUCAGGUGAUUCUGUUUUGAGAUAAUGAAGGCGUAUAAUCUGAAAAAGGCUUCAGGAGGGAAAGGCUACUCACAAAAUUUUAUGAAAUCAACAGCAGAACAAGUACAUUUGUAACAUCGUUUGUUGUUUGAGGCAAAAUGAGACACUUAACUUUAACCCUGGUUGUUGUUAUUGUGGUUUUAUUCACAAAAGAUGCAAACAGUUCUGCUGCCAUAAUACUUGAGGUUUUCGACGAAAACGUGUUUGUUCCAAAAAAUGGAUUUAGAGAACAAGGUCUCCGUCUUCACAACCAUUAUCGAUCCUUGAACAAAGUGUCCCCUCUAAAAUUGGAUCAUGAGCUCAACAAGUUGGCUCAUGCACAUGCAGAGAAGUUGGCGUCUUGGAACAAUUUGACGGCUUCGGAGACUGGGUUUGAUGAGAACCUGUGGAGCCAUCGGGGCGAACUGCUCCCACUGGCGAAGGAUCUCGAGUACGCCAUCCGCUGUUGGUACACUGGGAGCACGACGCCAGGCCGGGUGCAGGCCUCGGUCGACCACUUUGUUCUCAGGUCGGACUCCGUGACCAGCGUGGGAUUUGGUGUUGGUACGAGUGAGCACAAUGGGGAAGGAUACAGCGUCGUGGUUGCCUUAUACCAAUAAAGAUCCUUCCCUUUCUUAUGCCCUUCCUAUACACGCACACAAAUUAUGUGUUAGCUUGAACCAUGUACACACUUUUUGUCUGGUUUGCAUUGACUCUGGAAAUAAAGACUUUUGAUUCGAGUUGGUUUGUUUCUGUUUUGGAAAUGUUAUAAAUACGGAUGAAGUCGUCGUCACUUUAGUUGGAGUUACUUUUUUUCAUCUUACUGCUUAUUUACUGUUCCAAUUUCCAUAUAAGUACAAUGGUUAACUGCAAAAAAUUAUUGGUGAUAUUUCUAAUCGUUCUGGUGGUGAUGAGCUCUUUCGCAGAGGGAGGAGGCAUUCUGCAAAAGUUGAAGAGGAAGCUCAAGGGAGGAAAGGGAGGAGGAGGAGGAGGAGGGCGAAGCAAAGGUGGUGGUGGUGGUGGAGGUCACCGUGGAGGGGGCGGAGGACGUGGGGGUGGGGGAAAAGGUGGUGGAUACGGAAAAUAAUUGAUUUACUGUACUAACUAUUUUAUAUUAACUUUUCAAAAAAUACAAUUUUGAGUCUUUGAGGUUUGCCAUUCGGUUGGUUCAAGCCAGUCAAUGAAAUAAAUAUGUACACAAUCUA